UACGGAGAGUGCAAACGUUGUUCGGAUUCACUGGGCGUAAAGGGCACGUAGGCGGCUCGGCAAAUCGGUCGUGGAAUCCCGACGCUUACCGUCGGAACGGCGGCCGAAAAUACCGGGCUCGGAGGGCGUGAGGGGUCAUGGAACUCCUGGUGAAGCGGUGAAAUGCGUAGAUAUCAGGAGGAACGCCGGAGGCGGAAAGCGAGUGACUGGCGCGU
rnacentral:rRNA from 1 species